rnacentral:lncRNA from 1 species
GGGGAGAAUUAGGGUGUGGGGGGAGAUGUGGAGUUUUUGUAUACUUUGUGGAUUGAGCGGUAAUGGAUGGGUUAAUGGACGAUUGUGAUUUAUUUGGAUCAAGCAUUAACAAAUAUAUUCCUAUAUAGUUUAACUUUUAUAUAUUGUUCCUACAAAAUUUCAGAUAUUUUCAAAUAUAUCCUUUUCGUUAAAAUUCGUUAAAAAAUUUUAGUUAAUUAUAAAUUAAAUACUUAAUUUUGAUUAAUUUUUGAUAUUUUUAUCCCUCAUAUAUUAUACUGUUAUGGCUUUUGAAUGAAUAUAUAUUUAUGAUGGCAAAAUUGAAAAUAUAAAUAGCUCUCUAAUAGUCCUCUAACAGUUACAAACCAUGGUAACAUAUUCAAAAAUAUUAAAACUUUUACAUGGGCUUGUAUGAAAUUAACCCUUAUAAUUAUAUACAGCAGAUCUAAACUUU